rnacentral:rRNA from 1 species
AUCGAACGCUGGCGGAAUGCUUUACACAUGCAAGUCGAACGGCAGCACGGACUUCGGUCUGGUGGCGAGUGGCGAACGGGUGAGUAAUGUAUCGGAACGUGCCCAGUCGUGGGGGAUAACGUAGUGAAAAUUACGCUAAUACCGCAUACGAUCUAUGGAUGAAAGCGGGGGAUCGCAAGACCUCGCGCGAUUGGAGCGGCCGAUAUCAGAUUAGGUAGUUGGUGGGGUAAAGGCCCACCAAGCCAACGAUCUGUAGCUGGUCUGAGAGGACGACCAGCCACACUGGAACUGAGACACGGUCCAGGCUCCUACGGGAGGCAGCAGUGGGGAAUUUUGGACAAUGGGCGAAAGCCUGAUUCAGCCAUUCCGCGUGCAGGAUGAAGGCCCUCGGGUUGUAAACUGCUUUUGUACAGAACGAAAAGGUUUCUACUAAUACUAGGAGCUCAUGACGGUACUGUAAGAAUAAGCACCGGCUAACUACGUGCCAGCAGCCGCGGUAA